rnacentral:rRNA from 1 species
UUCCAUAGAUUCGAUCCUGGUUUAUUUACAAUUAUAACUUCCACACCUAUUCAUUUGUCAUUUGGGAGAAUUUCCCAUAUAAAGAAAGAAAAAGAGUCAAAGAAAGGAUGGGAGAUGUUUCCCAUGUCAAAUCAAAAAAGAGAGGGAAAGAUACUAUAACAAUGUGUAUCAGACUGCCUGUUUCCUUGUAGUUGGAUCUCCCACUUUUUGGAAUGUUCCAAAUUCCACUUGAGCAUCCAAAUCUGGAUCAAUACCAGCAAAAACAUCUCGGAACAAUGUUCUAGCACCAUGCCAAAUGUGUCCGAAAAAGAAGAGCAAAGCAAAGGUAGCAUGACCAAAAGUGAACCAACCCCUUGGACUGCUGCGAAAAACACCAUCAGAUUUCAAAGUAGCCCGGUCUAA